rnacentral:rRNA from 1 species
CCUACGGGUGGCAGCAGUGGGGAAUAUUGGACAAUGGGGGUAACCCUGAUCCAGCCAUGCCGCGUGUGUGAAGAAGGCCCUCGGGUUGUAAAGCACUUUCAGUGAGGAAGAACGCCUGGUGGUUAAUACCCAUCAGGAAAGACAUCACUCACAGAAGAAGCACCGGCUAACUCCGUGCCAGCAGCCGCGGUAAUACGGAGGGUGCGAGCGUUAAUCGGAAUUACUGGGCGUAAAGCGCGCGUAGGUGGCUUGAUAAGCCGGUUGUGAAAGCCCCGGGCUCAACCUGGGAACGGCAUCCGGAACUGUCAAGCUAGAGUGCAGGAGAGGAAGGUAGAAUUCCCGGUGUAGCGGUGAAAUGCGUAGAGAUCGGGAGGAAUACCAGUGGCGAAGGCGGCCUUCUGGACUGACACUGACACUGAGGUGCGAAAGCGUGGGUAGCAAACAGGAUUAGAUACCCGUGUAGUC